CAAUGCUAGAGCAUGUUGUUUGUAUCCAGGGAAAAUCCUUGCCAUCCUCGCUUGUUAUCCCUUAAGAAGGCAUUCUCUGCCACAGACAAGUGGUACAAAAGAGGAACCUUCCAUGUCAUUUGUGACCAAAGUGAGAGCUGCAGCUUCAAACAGGACAGCGAUGAGAACAAGCUCUGCGCACCACUGGAUUUGAAUGGCGGCUUGAAUUUGAGGAGCACAUUUGGGAUUCAGGCAGCAGAUCUGAUUUGAAAUGCACAGAGGU